UACGUAGGGACCAAGCGUUGUUCGGAUUUACUGGGCGUAAAGGGCGCGUAGGCGGCCACCGCAAGUCGACUGUGAAAUCUCCGGGCUUAACUCGGAAAGGUCAACUGAUACUGCGGGGCUAGAGUGCGGAAGGGGCAACUGGAAUUCUCGGUGUAGCGGUGAAAUGCGUAGAUAUCGAGAGGAACACCUGCGGCGAAGGCGGGUUGCUGGGCCGACACUGACGCUGAGGAGCGAAAGCCAGGGGAGCAAACGGG
rnacentral:rRNA from 1 species